rnacentral:rRNA from 1 species
UGGGGAAUAUUGGACAAUGGGGGCAACCCUGAUCCAGCAAUGCCGCGUGAGUGAUGAAGGCCUUCGGGUUGUAAAGCUCUUUUGCCAGGGACGAUGAUGACGGUACCUGGAGAAUAAGCCCCGGCUAACUUCGUGCCAGCAGCCGCGGUAAUACGAAGGGGGCAAGCGUUGUUCGGAAUUACUGGGCGUAAAGGGGGCGUAGGCGGCUUAUCAAGUCAGGCGUGAAAUUCCCGGGCUCAACCUGGGGGCUGCGCUUGAUACUGAUGAGCUUGAAUGCGGGAGAGGAUAGUGGAAUUCCCAGUGUAGAGGUGAAAUUCGUAGAUAUUGGGAAGAACACCGGUGGCGAAGGCGGCUAUCUGGCCCGUGACUGACGCUGAGGCGCGAAAGCGUGGGGAUCGA